UUUUUUUUUUUUGAAAAUCUUGAUCCAAGGGAUGACAGACCCGCCACAAAUACAGGAGACCCACUGUUCACACGGACAGAGCCUCCCCUGUAUUUGCAUGGCGUCACGCAAGCAUAAGUACAACCACAAUCAUUCACUACACAACAUACUAUUACAUUUUCACGAAAAAAUCCUUUUAAAACUGUUUUUCACACGGAAAUCUUUUCUUUAAAGACACUACCACGAGAGAUAGAAAACCAUUUUCACAACUCACAAACAGUUAUAAAAGUCACAAUGUUUAACUUUAUAAAUCCAUAAACACUCAACCGAAAUAAAACCACUGAACCAUAAAUGUCUAAGUCAUUUAUUUUGAAUAAGCAAUGAGAGAAACUAAAC
rnacentral:lncRNA from 1 species